AAAACCCUCGGGAAACUGAGGAUAAUUCCCGAUAGGCGAAGGGUUUUGGAAGAACCCUUCACCCAAAGGGAUGGGGAAAAUGGACCUCAUCCGCGCGAGGAUGGGGCUGCGUCCCAUCAGGCAGUUGGUGGGGUAAUGGCCCACCAAACCUAUAACGGGUACGGGCCGUGAGAGCGGGAGCCCGGAGAUGGGCACUGAGACAAGGGCCCAGGCUCUACGGAGCGCACCAAGCGCGAAACCUUCGCAAUGCGGGAAACCGUGACGGGGCCAUCCCGAGUGCGGGCCGCUGAGGCCCGCUUUUGCUCAGUGUAAGAAGCUGGGCGAAUAAGUGGGGGGCAAGACUGGUGUCAGCCGCCGCGGUAAUACCAGCUCCACGAGUGGUCAGGACGGUUAUUGGGCCUAAAGCGUCCGUAGCCGGCCCAGUAAGUUUAUGGUGAAAUCCGGCAUCUCAAGUGUCGGAGCGCUGUAAAUACUGCUGGGCUAGGGAGCGGGAGAGGCCGGGGGUACCUCCGGGGUAGGGGCGAAAUCCUAUAAUCCCGGAGUGACGACCAGUGGCGAAAGCGCCCGGCUAGAACGCGUCCGACGGUGAGGGACGAAAGCUGGGGUAGCAAACCGGAUUAGAUACCCGGGUAGUCCCAGCCGUAAACUAUGCGGGCUAGUUGUCGGGACGGCUUAGGGCCGCUCCGGUAACGCAGGGAAGCCAUUAAGCCCGCCGCCUGGGGAGUACGACCGCAAGGUUGAAACUUAAAGGAAUUGGCGGGGGAGCACCACAAGGGGUGAAGCUUGCGGCUCAAUUGGAGUCAACGCCGGAAAACUCACCAGGGGAGACAGCAGUGUGAAGGCCAAGCUAACGACUUUGCCAGACGCGCUGAGAGGAGGCGCAUGGCCGUCGCCAGCUCGUAUCGUGAGACGUCCGGUCAAGUCCGGGAACGAGCGAGACCUCCGUCUUUAGUUGCAACCCUUCAGGGGGCACACUAAAGAGACCGCCACCGAUUAAGGUGGAGGAAGGAGGAGGCAACGGCAGGUCAGCAUGCCCCGAAACCUCUGGGCUGCACGCGAGCUGCAAUGGCAGGUACAAUGGGAUCUGACCCCGUAAGGGGAAAGCAAUCCUCAAAGCCUGCCUCAGUUG
rnacentral:rRNA from 1 species